rnacentral:rRNA from 1 species
GAUGAACGCUGGCGGCGUGCCUAAUACAUGCAAGUCGAGCGAACAGAUGAGGAGCUUGCUCCUCUGACGUUAGCGGCGGACGGGUGAGUAACACGUGGAUAACCUACCUAUAAGACUGGGAUAACUUCGGGAAACCGGAGCUAAUACCGGAUAAUAUAUUGAACCGCAUGGUUCAAUAGUGAAAGACGGUUUUGCUGUCACUUAUAGAUGGAUCCGCGCCGCAUUAGCUAGUUGGUAAGGUAACGGCUUACCAAGGGAACGAUGCGUAGCCGACCUGAGAGGGUGAUCGGCCACACUGGAACUGAGACACGGUCCAGACUCCUACGGGAGGCAGCAGUAGGGAAUCUUCCGCAAUGGGCGAAAGCCUGACGGAGCAACGCCGCGUGAGUGAUGAAGGUCUUCGGAUCGUAAAACUCUGUUAUUAGGGAAGAACAAAUGUGUAAGUAACUAUGCACGUCUUGACGGUACCUAAUCAGAAAGCCACGGCUAACUACGUG